rnacentral:rRNA from 1 species
GGGGAAUCUUGCACAAUGGGCGGAAGCCUGAUGCAGCGACGCCGCGUGCGGGACGAAGGCCUUCGGGCUGUAAACCGCUUUCAGCAGGGACGAGGCGAAAGUGACGGUACCUGCAGAAGAAGCCCCGGCUAACUACGUGCCAGCAGCCGCGGUAAUACGUAGGGGGCAAGCGUUAUCCGGAUUCAUUGGGCGUAAAGCGCGCGUAGGCGGCCAGCCUGGUCGGGAGUCAAAUCCGGGGGCUCAACCCCCGUCCGCUCCCGAUACCGGCCGGCUUGAGUCUGGCAGGGGAAGGCGGAAUUCCCGGUGUAGCGGUGGAAUGCGCAGAUAUCGGGAAGAACACCGGUGGCGAAGGCGGCCUUCUGGGCCACGACUGACGCUGAGGCGCGAAAGCUAGGGGAGCGAACA